AUUUCAAUUUCUUUCUCAAUCUUUUCCAAGACCGCCUAAUUUACUCCCCACCCUCCAAACUUCCCUCUAAUUUUUUCAAUUUUUUCCCCAUCAUCGAUCCAUUUUCCCACUCUGUAUAGGGUCACUCCAUUUGCAAGGCAGUGAACGGCAAAAUAACCGUAUGCGUUUUCUCAUUAGCUUCGUCGUCAUAGGUAAUACUUUGUCUCAUGUUGUUUCUCAUCACCAAAGGUUCUACUUCACACUACGAAUUUACAUUCGUGUGCAUGUUCUAGGGUUACUCAGUUUGUGGCCUUGUAUUUUGUUUGUUUUUUAUUCAAAUAUCGACGCAUCAGAAUGUUUAAUUUUGUAGUCUUAAUAGAUUUAAUGGGUUUUGUGUGAUCUAGGGUUCUGAAUGGAAUUGUGUUUAUUGGAAUUCAGAUUUGGGCUAUUUAAUUUUGGUGCCCUAAAUUUACUUUUGGGGUUUGAAACAAAGCAUUGUAGUUAUUUGUCUAUAAAUUAGUAAGGACCGUAUUUAUUAUAAUAAGUGUUUUUAAUUUUUGAUGAGAAUGAUGAAUGGUGUCUAGAUUUUUGAAUUUUUAAGUUAACUAGUUUAAGGCACCAUAUUUGACUUCAAACUCUAUGAAAGUUGCUUAACCUUGUGUUAGAGGUGGAAGCGAGUCAGAGUAGUUUGUCCCUCUGCAUAUGCAUCUGAUUCUUCUUCGGGCCCAAAAUGACAUUCUUUAGUAAGGAAAAUGAUUCCAGGUGUGAAACAAAGGAGCAGUUUUAACCAGAUUGACAACCAAUAUGAAAAAAAAAUUGAUCAAGGAAGGGCUUGAAACGGGUACGAUUGUGCGAACCAAUGACAUUAAUCAUUCAAAGGAGAGGGAGGUUGUUGCCUUCAGCUGUUGCUCUUUCUAGCUACGAAGAGAAGGAAGAACAGUUCAAAGAACAGAGUGGAUGAAAUUGGUUUUUUAUUUCAUUUUGUAGGUGAAGAUGAUCGAAGUGAGUAGGAAAUCUGGGCAUGCUACACAAGCAAAUGACGAAGGAGGUUCACUCGCAUAGUUUAAUGAAAUAUUGUAUUUUUGUUAGUAUUUUUUUUGAAAUAUUGCAUGAAAUAUUGGUUUGUUAGUAUCAACAUUAAGGCAAUACGUAGUGGGGCGCGACCAAGGGCCAUAGCGCCGCUAUGGCGCCGCCCACACCGCCCCCCCCCCCCCCCCCGGCGCCAUGACCAAAAAAAACAAAAGGCGUGAAAAAAUUCGCGGCGCGAGAAGUUGGGGAUUUGUUCUGCAUUUUCCACUUUGGUCCCUGCAUUUUACAAUUUGGUCCCUGCAUUAAAACACUUUGGUCCCUGCAUUUUACACUUUGGUUAUGAUGAGGUAGGGCUUUAUGACUACGGGCUCUAGUGACAUAACGCCCCAUAAAGCCCCUGUGUGACGUGGCACGACACGUGUCGCAUAACGCCCACAAAAGGGCUUUAUGACUACACAUGGCCUGAAAUAUUGUUUAACUUUGUUAUUUGAAUAAUUGAAUGAAAUGGAUUGUUUUGAUA